GGCGCAGAAACCGGAAGGCGGAGCAGAGACUCUCCCUCUUGUCCCGGAGAUGAUCGUGGUGAGCAGACGUGUUCCCUACCGCUUCCUAACUUUGACUUCUUCACUAUUCGCUGCGUAGCAGUGGUGAAGAAGAUGUCCAAGUCACACUGCGGCUGGUACACCUGACAAGAUGCUAUGGCACCACUGCAAACUGCAGAUGACCAAAUGUCUUCAUUUUGUGGACCUUCAAGCGGCUUGAAGUUGCAGUGACAAGAGAGCCACAGGAUAUGUAAACCUUUGUCUGCUGCCAAGAUGAGAUAGGCCGCCAUAGUAGCAGUUACGGAGCUACAUCGAUGCUGACUUCAUCUCUUCCCCAGUUAUGAAGCCAGUUGAAUGAUCCAGCGGUACACAGGAAACCUGUUUUGUGAAAGGUAAAUACCAAACCCAACUCCUCAGCUUGUCCUACAUCUAAUUUAUGUUUUUUGUUAGGUUUUACCAGUUUACAUGUCUACAUGUCUGUUGUCUGUGACUGCACCUUUUUGUAAUAAAACAUGUACCUCCA